CGAGAAAGCCCGCAAGGGUGAGUAAAGCGGCGCACGGGUGCGUAACACGUGGGUAAUCUGCCCUAGAGUCCGGAAUAACUCGCCGAAAGGCGUGCUAAUGCCGGAUGAGACCUCGGGAGCCUCGGCUCCUGCGGGAAAAGGUGGCCUCUGUAUACAAGCUAUCGCUCUGGGAUGAGCCCGCGGCCCAUCAGCUCGUUGGCGGGGUAAUGGCCCACCAAGGCUACGACGGGUAGCUGGUCUGAGAGGACGAUCAGCCACACUGGAACUGAGACACGGUCCAGACUCCUACGGGAGGCAGCAGUGGGGAAUCUUGCGCAAUGGGCAAAAGCCUGACGCAGCAACGCCGCGUGUGUGAUGAAGGUCUUCGGAUCGUAAAGCACUGUCGCGAGGGACG
rnacentral:rRNA from 1 species